rnacentral:lncRNA from 1 species
CCCAGCCAACAGCGAUGGCUGCAGGGCCGGCGGUACCAGCAAUGCCAGGCUGUGCGAGCUGUGUGAGCCAUCUGCUCGUGCUGAGCCACUCCGGAGCCUUUCAGGAGCAGGGCUGCCUUCGGGAACACCCCGUCGGGACUGCUCUGCCGCAGAGCCCCCGUGGGAGCCCGGCACACAGCUCCCAGACAGCCUCCUCUCUUUUGCAAGAGGAGAGUGGUGGAGCUGAGAUGCUCGAAGGGACUUCUGCCUCCUGUGUGCAUGUGCCUCCCCCCAGGUGAGCUGGGGAACAGGCUGCAUCUUCUGGGCUGCUUGAAGCAUCCUGGUGUCUCCUGCAGGUGUUCUGGCCUGAACCUGACCUGCUAUCAAAGUUGGCCUUGAAGACCUGGACUGGGAGUGGAGGCUCAUCCCAAGCAAAGCCUGUAUAUAUCUUACUUUCCUGUCUUGUGCAAACUGGGGUAGUGCAGGGGUGCUUAUUUAAAGUGAGGUGGGGAGGGGGUGCCCAGCUGGGACUUCAUUGUGCAAAGGAGCACUUUGGCAUAACUGAUGCCUGCUGGUGACACGAGCCUUGAAUUGUCUCCAGCUGCAGAAGUCACCGGACUGGGAAGUAAAGCUGGGCUGCUCCAUCCUCCUUGCUGAACGUCCUCUUGAUGGAUGAGGGUAAGCGAGGGGGAUGGAGCGACAUUGCCAUAUUAUGAUCUUGGUGCCUGCUCCUUCAUUUCAUGUUGUCUUCUGCAAAUGCAUUGAUUUGGAUUUAUUUAAAAGUUUGUUUUGAAAUGAAAUGACUUUGCACAACUUGGAUUUUUUUAAAAAUACUCAAUGUGCUUGUAUCUACAUCCAACACUGCAGCAUUGGAAACAUUCUUACUCAGUAACCUCAUUUGGGCCUUGUUGUAAAUUGUGACUUCAGCACGAGUAAUUAAAAUCACUGUAUCUCUUUUGCCUUGGAAAAAGAUGAAAACACUGUUCCUUACGCAUUGAGUACAUCAGACUUUAAUACUAAAGGGUAGACUAAAGAAUUUAGGUUUAUUUAAAACUUAUUUUCACUGGGUAGCAGACCCAGGUGAAAAUAGUACUGCGUUUCUCUGGUUCAGAGAACAAAUUUACCUGUUUGUUUGUUUCCUUCCUCUCCUUCCCUUAAUGGUGGUACUGAGACUGUUUUUUUGUUUUUAAGAAUUUGCCAUGGCGAGAACUGAGAUGUAUAUGAUGUUUACAUAAAAACUAUGAACUGUGUAUGCAGUUUUUUAUGUAAAAUAUUAAAAGAUUCUAUGCUGACUUAAGA